GACGAACGCUGGCGGCGUGCCUAAUACAUGCAAGUCGAACGAGUGGCGGACGGGUGAGUAACACGGGGGAACCUACCCAUCAGAGGGGGAUAACCACUGGAAACGGUAGCUAAUACCGCAUACCAUCGGAUGUGCCCAGUUGGGAUUAGCUUGUUGGUGGGGUAACGGCUCACCAAGGCGACGAUCCCUAGCUGGUCUGAGAGGAUGACCAGCCAAACUGGAACUGAGACACGGCCCAGACUCCUACGGGAGGCAGCAGUGGGGAAUUUUGGACAAUGGGCGAAAGCCUGAUCCAGCCAUGCCGCGUGUGUGAUGAAGGUCUUCGGAUUGUAAAGCACUUUUGGUUGGGAAGCGUUACCUGCAGAAUAAGCACCGGCUAACUACGUGCCAGCAGCCGCGGUAAUAC
rnacentral:rRNA from 1 species